GGCGUGCUUAACACAUGCAAGUCGAACGGAAAGGCCCUGCUUUUGUGGGGUGCUCGAGUGGCGAACGGGUGAGUAACACGUGAGUAACCUGCCCUUGACUUUGGGAUAACUUCAGGAAACUGGGGCUAAUACCGGAUAGGAGCUCCUGCUGCAUGGUGGGGGUUGGAAAGUUUCGGCGGUUGGGGAUGGACUCGCGGCUUAUCAGCUUGUUGGUGGGGUAGUGGCUUACCAAGGCUUUGACGGGUAGCCGGCCUGAGAGGGUGACCGGCCACAUUGGGACUGAGAUACGGCCCAGACUCCUACGGGAGGCAGCAGUGGGGAAUAUUGCACAAUGGGCGGAAGCCUGAUGCAGCAACGCCGCGUGCGGGAUGACGGCCUUCGGGUUGUAAACCGCUUUCGCCUGUGACGAAGCGUGAGUGACGGUAAUGGGUAAAGAAGCACCGGCUAACUACGUGCCAGCAGCCGCGGUGAUACGUAGGGUGCGAGCGUUGUCCGGAUUUAUUGGGCGUAAAGGGCUCGUAGGUGGUUGAUCGCGUCGGAAGUGUAAUCUUGGGGCUUAACCCUGAGCGUGCUUUCGAUACGGGUUGACUUGAGGAAGGUAGGGGAGAAUGGAAUUCCUGGUGGAGCAGUGGAAUGCGCAGAUAUCAGGAGGAACACCAGUGGCGAAGGCGGUUCUCUGGGCCUUUCCUGACGCUGAGGAGCGAAAGCGUGGGGAGCGAACAGGCUUAGAUACCCUGGUAGUCCACGCUGUAAACGGUGGGUACUAGGUGUGGGGUCCAUUCCACGGGUUCCGUGCCGUAGCUAACGCUUUAAGUACCCCGCCUGGGGAGUACGGCCGCAAGGCUAAAACUCAAAGGAAUUGACGGGGCCCCGCACAAGCGGCGGAGCAUGCGGAUUAAUUCGAUGCAACGCGUAGAACCUUACCUGGGUUUGACAUGGAUCGGGAGUGCUCAGAGAUGGGUGUGCCUCUUUUGGGGUCGGUUCACAGGUGGUGCAUGGCUGUCGUCAGCUCGUGUCGUGAGAUGUUGGGUUAAGUCCCGCAACGAGCGCAACCCUUGUUCACUGUUGCCAGCACGUUAUGGUGGGGACUCAGUGGAGACCGCCGGGGUCAACUCGGAGGAAGGUGGGGAUGACGUCAAGUCAUCAUGCCCCUUAUGUCCAGGGCUUCACGCAUGCUACAAUGGCUGGUACAGAGAGUGGCGAGCCUGUGAGGGUGAGCGAAUCUCGGAAAGCCGGUCUCAGUUCGGAUUGGGGUCUGCGACUCGACCUCAUGAAGUCGGAGUCGCUAGUAAUCGCAGAUCAGCAACGCUGCGGUGAAUACGUUCCCGGGGCUUGUACACACCGCCCGUCAAGUCAUGAAAGUCGGUAACACCCGAAGCCGGUGGCCUAACCGUUGUGGGGGAGCCGUCGAAGGUGGGACUGGUGAUUAGGACUAAGUCG
rnacentral:rRNA from 1 species